CCUANGGGGGGCAGCAGUGGGGAAUUUUCCGCAAUGGGCGAAAGCCUGACGGAGCAAUACCGCGUGAGGGAUGACGGCCUAUGGGUUGUAAACCUCUUUUUUCAGGGAGGAAUCAAAUGACGUGUACCUGAGGAAUAAGCAUCGGCUAACUCCGUGCCAGCAGCCGCGGUAAGACGGAGGAUGCAAGUGUUAUCCGGAAUCACUGGGCGUAAAGCGUCUGUAGGUGGUCAAAUAAGUCAACUGUUAAAUCUUGAGGCUCAACCUCAAAAUCGCAGUCGAAACUAUUAGACUAGAGUAUAGUAGGGGUAAAGGGAAUUUCCAGUGGAGCGGUGAAAUGCGUAGAGAUUGGAAAGAACACCGAUGGCGAAGGCACUUUACUGGGCUAUUACUAACACUGAGAGACGAAAGCUAGGGUAGCAAAUGGGAUUAGAUACCCUGNUANUC
rnacentral:rRNA from 1 species